rnacentral:rRNA from 1 species
CACGUAGGGGGCAAGCGUUGUCCGGAUUUAUUGGGCGUAAAGAGCGUGUAGGCGGCUUUACAGGUCCGUUGUGAAAACUCGAGGCUCAACCCUGGGAUGCCGGUGGAUACUGUCGGGCUCGAGUCCGGAAGAGGAGUGUGGAAUUCCUGGUGUAGCGGUGAAAUGCGCAGAUAUCAGGAGGAACACCUGUGGCGAAGGCGGCCCCCUGGGCCGGCCCUGACACUGAGACGCGAAAGCGUGGGGAGCGAACAGG